rnacentral:rRNA from 1 species
UACGUAGGGGGCAAGCGUUGUCCGGAAUCAUUGGGCGUAAAGCGCGCGUAGGCGGCCCGGUAAGUCCGCUCUGAAAGUCCAGGGCUCAACCCUGGAAUUGCCUUUGAUACUGGCUGUCUUGAGUUCGGGAGAGGUGAGUGGAAUGCCGAGUGUAGAGGUGAAAUUCGUAGAUAUUCGGCGGAACACCAGUGGCGAAGGCGACUCACUGGCCCGAUACUGACGCUGAGGCGCGAAAGCGUGGGGAGCAAACAGG